UACGUAGGUGGCAAGCAUUGUCCGGAUUUACUGGGCGUAAAGAGCGCGCAGGCGGUCGUCCAAGUCGCGUGUGAAAGCCCCCGGCUCAACUGGGGAGGGUCACGCGAUACUGGUCGACUCGAAGGCAGGAGAGGGUAGUGGAAUUCCCGGUGUAGUGGUGAAAUGCGUAGAUAUCGGGAGGAACACCAGUGGCGAAGGCGACUACCUGGCCUGUUCUUGACGCUGAGGCGCGAAAGCUAGGGGAGCAAACGGG
rnacentral:rRNA from 1 species